rnacentral:rRNA from 1 species
UACGAAGGGGGCGAGCGUUGUUCGGAAUUACUGGGCGUAAAGAGCGCGCAGGCGGUCGUUCAAGUCGCGUGUGAAAGCCCCCGGCUCAACUGGGGAGGGUCACGCGAUACUGAUCGACUCGAAGGCAGGAGAGGGUAGUGGAAUUCCCGGUGUAGUGGUGAAAUGCGUAGAUAUCGGGAGGAACACCAGUGGCGAAGGCGACUACCUGGCCUGUUCUUGACGCUGAGGCGCGAAAGCUAGGGGAGCAAACGGG